GAUGAAGAACGUAGCGAAAUGCGAUACGUAGUGUGAAUUGCAGAAUUCAGUGAAUCAUCGAAUCUUUGAACGCACAUUGCACCUCUCGGUAUUCCGGGAGGUAUGCCUGUUCGAGCGUCAUUUGUACCCUCAAGCUCUGCUUGGUGUUGGGUGUUUGUUCCGCCUCUGUGUGUGAACUCGCCUCAAAACAAUUGGCAGCCGGCGUACUUGUUUCGGAGCGCAGCACAUUUUGCGAUCCAGAUUAACGUACAGCGGCAUCCAAGAAGCCUUAUUUAACGCUCUUGACCUCGGAUCAGGUAGGGAUACCCGCUGAACUUAAGCAUAUCAAUAAGCGGAGGA
rnacentral:misc_RNA from 1 species